rnacentral:rRNA from 1 species
GACGAACGCUGGCGGCGUGCUUAACACAUGCAAGUCGAACGGAAAGGCCCUGCCUUUGUGGGGUGCUCGAGUGGCGAACGGGUGAGUAACACGUGAGUAACCUGCCCUGGACUUUGGGAUAACUUCAGGAAACUGGGGCUAAUACUGGAUAUGAGCUCCUGCUGCAUGGUGGGGGUUGGAAAGUUUCGGCGGUUGGGGAUGGACUCGCGGCUUAUCAGCUUGUUGGUGGGGUAGUGGCUUACCAAGGCAUUGACGGGUAGCCGGCCUGAGAGGGUGACCGGCCACAUUGGGACUGAGAUACGGCCCAGACUCCUACGGGAGGCAGCAGUGGGGAAUAUUGCACAAUGGGCGGAAGCCUGAUGCAGCAACGCCGCGUGCGGGAUGACGGCCUUCGGGUUGUAAACCGCUUUCGCCUGUGACGAAGCGUGAGUGACGGUAAUGGGUAAAGAAGCACCGGCUAACUACGUG